CUCCGCCGCCGCCAUCGCCGCGCCGCCCCUCUCGCCGAACCACUCUCCAACAGUUUUUGAACGUGCUCAUGGUGGUGGUCGCGGCUCGAGUUCGAGUGAUUUUCGACGUCGAUUCGGAGGGUCGUUCGAGCGUGUGCGCGUCACGGUUGCGCCGUUGGAGAUCCGGCGAGCGCGUGGUUUUCUCUUCUUUUGACUUCUCGCCGUGGUUGGUCGAGCUUUACGAGGUGGAUUAAUAUUUACCGAAAUCGUCGGAACUCCUCAUAAGUUUUAGCAUCUUCGACAUGUAUCAUUGGUUUAUUUCCUUGUUAGUACUCGAAUUCAUGGAUUAGAGUAUAAAAUCUGAAUUUGAAGUUAAGCUAGAAUUAUAAUUUUA